GGGCCCAUAGCUCAGCUUGGUAGAGCGGCAGGCUCAUAACCUGUCGGUCAGGGGUUCGAAUCCCCUUGGGCCCACCA
rnacentral:tRNA from 1 species